rnacentral:rRNA from 1 species
GGAUGAACGCUGGCGGCGUGCCUAAUACAUGCAAGUCGAGCGAACGGACGAGAAGCUUGCUUCUCUGAUGUUAGCGGCGGACGGGUGAGUAACACGUGGAUAACCUACCUAUAAGACUGGGAUAACUUCGGGAAACCGGAGCUAAUACCGGAUAAUAUUUUGAACCGCAUGGUUCAAAAGUGAAAGACGGUCUUGCUGUCACUUAUAGAUGGAUCCGCGCUGCAUUAGCUAGUUGGUAAGGUAACGGCUUACCAAGGCAACGAUGCAUAGCCGACCUGAGAGGGUGAUCGGCCACACUGGAACUGAGACACGGUCCAGACUCCUACGGGAGGCAGCAGUAGGGAAUCUUCCGCAAUGGGCGAAAGCCUGACGGAGCAACGCCGCGUGAGUGAUGAAGGUCUUCGGAUCGUAAAACUCUGUUAUUAGGGAAGAACAUAUGUGUAAGUAACUGUGCACAUCUUGACGGUACCUAAUCAGAAAGCCACGGCUAACUACGUGCCAGCAGCCGCGGUAGUACGUAGGUGGCAAGCGUUAUCCGGAAUUAUUGGGCGUAAAGCGCGCGUAGGCGGUUUUUUAAGUCUGAUGUGAAAGCCCACGGCUCAACCGUGGAGGGUCAUUGGAAACUGGAAAACUUGAGUGCAGAAGAGGAAAGUGGAAUUCCAUGUGUAGCGGUGAAAUGCGCAGAGAUAUGGAGGAACACCAGUGGCGAAGGCGACUUUCUGGUCUGUAACUGACGCUGAUGUGCGAAAGCGUGGGGAUCAAACAGGAUUAGAUACCCUGGUAGUCCACGCCGUAAACGAUGAGUGCUAAGUGUUAGGGGGUUUCCGCCCCUUAGUGCUGCAGCUAACGCAUUAAGCACUCCGCCUGGGGAGUACGACCGCAAGGUUGAAACUCAAAGGAAUUGACGGGGACUCGCACAAGCGGUGGAGCAUGUGGUUUAAUUCGAAGCAACGCGAAGAACCUUACCAAAUCUUGACAUCCUUUGACAACUCUAGAGAUAGAGCUUUCCCCUUCGGGGGACAAAGUGACAGGUGGUGCAUGGUUGUCGUCAGCUCGUGUCGUGAGAUGUUGGGUUAAGUCCCGCAACGAGCGCAACCCUUAAGCUUAGUUGCCAUCAUUAAGUUGGGCACUCUAAGUUGACUGCCGGUGACAAACCGGAGGAAGGUGGGGAUGACGUCAAAUCAUCAUGCCCCUUAUGAUUUGGGCUACACACGUGCUACAAUGGACAAUACAAAGGGCAGCGAAACCGCGAGGUCAAGCAAAUCCCAUAAAGUUGUUCUCAGUUCGGAUUGUAGUCUGCAACUCGACUACAUGAAGCUGGAAUCGCUAGUAAUCGUAGAUCAGCAUGCUACGGUGAAUACGUUCCCGGGUCUUGUACACACCGCCCGUCACACCACGAGAGUUUGUAACACCCGAAGCCGGUGGAGUAACCUUUUAGGAGCUAGCCGUCGAAGGUGGGAC